CCUAAACUGCAGUCCGAACGGCAGCACAGAAUAAGCUUGCUCCUUGGGUGGCGAGUGGCGGACGGGUGAGGAAUACAUCGGAAUCUACUCUGUCGUGGGGGAUAACGUAUGGAAACUUACGCUAAUACCGCAUACGACCUACGGGUGAAAGCAGGGGAUCUUCGGACCUUGCGCGAUUGAAUGAGCCGAUGUCGGAUUAGCUAGUUGGCGGGGUAAAGGCCCACCAAGGCGACGAUCCGUAGCUGGUCUGAGAGGAUGAUCAGCCACACUGGAACUGAGACACGGUCCAGACUCCUACGGGAGGCAGCAGUGGGGAAUAUUGGACAAUGGGCGCAAGCCUGAUCCAGCCA
rnacentral:rRNA from 1 species